rnacentral:rRNA from 1 species
GACGAACGCUGGCGGCGUGCUUAACACAUGCAAGUCGAACGGAAAGGCCCUGCUUUUGUGGGGUGCUCGAGUGGCGAACGGGGGAGUAAAACGUGAGUAACCUGUCCUUGACUUUGGGAUAACUUCAGGAAACUGGGGCUAAUACAGGGUAGGAGCUCCUGCUGCACGGUGGGGGUUGGAAAGUUGCGGCGGUGGGGGCUGGACUCGAGGUUUAUCCGCUUGUUGGUGGGGUGGUGUCUUACAAAGGCUUUGAAGGUUGGCCGCCCUGGAAGGGAGACCGGCACCAUGGGACUGAGGGACGGCCCAGAAUGCCACCGGCCGCAAGGGGUGGGAAUAUUGCACAGUGGGCGGAAGCCUGAUGCAGCAACGCCGCGUGCGGGAUGACGGCCUUCGGGUUGUAAACCGCUUUCGCCUGUGACGAAGCGUGAGUGACGGUAAUGGGUAAAGAAGCACCGGCUAACUACGUG